ACUCCUACGGGAGGCAGCAGUGGGGAAUCUUGGACAAUGGGGGCAACCCUGAUCCAGCCAUGCCGCGUGAGUGAUGAAGGCCUUAGGUCGUAAAGCUCUUUCGCCUGUGAUGAUAAUGACAGUAGCAGGUAAAGAAACCCCGGCUAACUCCGUGCCAGCAGCCGCGGUAAUACGGAGGGGGUUAGCGUUGUUCGGAAUUACUGGGGCGUAAAGCGCGCGUAGGCGGAUUAGUCAGUUAGAGGUGAAAUCCCAGGGCUCAACCCUGGAACUGCCUUUAAUACUGCUAGUCUUGAGUUCGAGAGAGGUGAGUGGAAUUCCGAGUGUAGAGGUGAAAUUCGUAGAUAUUCGGAGGAACACCAGUGGCGAAGGCGGCUCACUGGCUCGAUACUGACGCUGAGGUGCGAAAGUGUGGGGAGCAAACAGGAUUAGAUACCCUGGUAGGAUAGCG
rnacentral:rRNA from 1 species